AUGAUGGUUGGACAAGAAAUAAUCUGUCUUAGAUUAAUAUAUUGAAUUUAACUUUUAAGUGAAAAGGCUUAAAUAAUUUGAAGGGACGAUAAGACCCUAUAAAACUUUAUAUUUAUAAGAUAGUAGUUAUUUUUAUUUAAUGGUAUUAUUUUAGAAUAUUUGGUUGGGGUGACAAAGAUAAAAUAUAAAGUAACUGUCUUUUUUUUUUACAGUUAUGUUUGGUUUAAUGAUCCUAAAAGGGAUUAAAGAUUAAGUUACUUUAGGGAUAACAGCGUAAUUUUCUUUGAGAGUUCUUAUCGACAAGAAAGUUUGCGACCUCGAUGUUGAAUUAAAAGUUCUUUAUAGAGUAGAGAUUAUAAUAGAAGGUCUGUUCGACCUUUAAAGUUUUACAUGAUUUGAGUUCAGACCGGUGUGAGCCAGGUUGG
rnacentral:rRNA from 1 species